UACGAAGGGGGCAAGCGUUACUCGGAAUUACUGGGCGUAAAGCGUGCGUAGGCGGUUCGUUAAGUCUGACGUGAAAUCCCCGGGCUCAACCUGGGACGUGCGUUGGAAACUGGCGAUCUAGAGUACGGUAGAGGGUGGUGGAAUUCCCGGUGUAGCAGUGAAAUGCGUAGAGAUCGGGAGGAACACUCGUGGCGAAGGCGGCCACCUGGACCAGUUCUGACGAUGAGGCACGAAAGAGUGGGGAGCAAACAGG
rnacentral:rRNA from 1 species